GGGGAAAGGAGCUUGGAGCGGGAAAGCUAAGUUUCAGUUUGGGACUUGUUACAUUUUACAUGGCUAUUGGAUGUAAUUAUUAGGGCAGCAUGAAGGAAUUCGACAGGUGGGCCUGCCCAGGUGCACGGACUUCGGGGACAGAGAGAGGUAGUCCUCACCGGGAAGAGAGUUACUUCCCAGAGACAAGUACGCUACGGAAGAAGCCUUGCCAGUCCAGGAGGUUAGUGAUCUCUGCACAGCUUCCAAGGAAAAAUGUUCACUUCUAGGUAGAGUGAGUACGGAAGGGGGCGCAAGGAGGGGGUUGGAGAUGUGAACUUGGGAGACAUGAAUGUGAAGUGGAGACUGCAUGAGGUCAUUAUGGUCUAGAUGAAAACCUACAGCUCAUAGUCGACCGCCUUUGUCCAUUCAAGUUGUCCCAGAACGCAGUCACGCCCAUUUGUUCACCUAUUGCCCGAGUCAGCUUUACCACUACCGCUGCACCGCGCCUCCAAAGAAAGAGCUGCUAACAGUUUCUUCCCAAAAUCAAUAGGGUGGAGGACUGUGUUUUGCUCAGAAGGCAGGAAUGAAGGAAGGAACCACUUGCUAAGCUGUCAUUCAGCUCAUCCCAGUGACACCUGUGGAUCACCAGGCCUGAGACUGUUUCUCCCAUCUGUAGGAAUUAAGAAUGACCUUGACUAUUCUGAUUUCUCUCCUCCAUCUGCAUUGCAUCAGGCCGCACUGGAACUAGAAAAUGAUCAGGAAAAGAAAACAUGGGAAGAGAGUUUUGCUUACAGCAAUAGAUGUGACAGAUCAUAGUACAAAACAGGAUUCUUGUGAAAUAACGUUUUGGUCCAAGAAAGGAUGGAGCUAACAAAGAUAAUGAAGUAUCUUCCCUCUUGUAAACCUUCUACACCAAAUGGUGUUAUGAGGACAGCGGUAAAAAUGCUAGAAUUUCAACUACUCCUGCAAGGGAUCCAUGCAAAAUCUCUCUCAUUUUCAAGAUGACUGCAUUGCCCAUCACAGCACAUAGAAGUAAUCCACAUAUUUGAGGCGACCUUGUUAGAACUAUGUGCCUUAGAAACGGUUGAGCUUGAGCAUGGCUUAGAAGGAGGACUGUUGUGUGGACCUGCCAUGGUCAAGGGACAUCACCUAUUCCAGCAUCAGUAACGUGUCUCCCACUGCUUUGAAGCAGACAUGGAGGAAUUCCCUAACACCCUGAGUCCCCACCUCAAACAAGUGGAGAAGCUGAGAGACGUCCUCCAAAUGGUUCUGGCUGUGUUCAUUGCAUGGAGGACGAUGUCAACCGAGGGAACCCCUUCCUUGUGAACUUCUUCUUGGAAAUUGCAGUGGCUUCUUGGGAACAAAGUGUCACCUAGAAGAGAUGCACAGUAGCUGAGCAUAGCAGACCCCGAUCGUGCCCUGCCCAUGUCGCCUCAUCGCUGCCCAUCCCCUGCCAUCAGAUGGCUUCUUGCUGUGAACGUCAGGCUCUCCACCUGUGAAUAUUUUCCGGCUGCUAAAGUAGGCUGGGUCCAUGCACCAGGCAGCCCCUGAGUGCUGGAAAAGUUAAUACCCCCAGGGGAAUAACCCUUAACCAGAGACAGAUGGGAGUUGUAGUUAAUGCUGGAGCUUGUUCACCCCUGUCUUGGGAACUUCUGAAGCGUGGUCUACACUUGCCACAAGAGCUCAGCCAGAGGCCCGCAGCGGUAGCCUGCUGGAUAGUGCACUCUUGACUGUCUUCUUCCACUCCCCGACUCACUUUCUCCAUUCCCCGACAGGUGCUUCCUGGGACCACUUCCAGAAUAAACUACUUGCACUCAAAUCCGCA
rnacentral:lncRNA from 1 species